rnacentral:rRNA from 1 species
UACGUAGGGGCAAGCGUUGUCCGGAAUCAUUGGGCGUAAGAGCGUGUAGGCGGCCCGGUCAGUCCGCCGUGAAAGUCCAGGGCUCAACCCUGGAAUGCCGGUGGAUACUGCCGGGCUGGAGUCCGGAAGAGGCGAGUGGAAGUUCCUGGUGUAGCGGUGAAAUGCGCAGAUAUCAGGAGGAACACCGGUGGCGAAGGCGGGUCUCUGGGCAGUAACUGACGCUGAGGAGCGAAAGCG